UGCCAUCAUUAAGUUGGGCACUCUAAGUUGACUGCCGGUGACAAACCGGAGGAAGGUGGGGAUGACGUCAAAUCAUCAUGCCCCUUAUGAUUUGGGCUACACACGUGCUACAAUGGACAAUACAAAGGGCAGCGAAACCGCGAGGUCAAGCAAAUCCCAUAAAGUUGUUCUCAGUUCGGAUUGUAGUCUGCAACUCGACUACAUGAAGCUGGAAUCGCUAGUAAUCGUAGAUCAGCAUGCUACGGUGAAUACGUUCCCGGGUCUUGUACACACCGCCCGUC
rnacentral:rRNA from 1 species